CCUGAUUCCAUCCCGAACUCAGAAGUGAAACGAAACAGCGUCGAUGGUAGUGUGGGGUUUCCCCAUGUGAGAGUAGAACAUCGCCAGGC
rnacentral:rRNA from 3 species